AACGAACGCUGGCGGCAUGCCUAACACAUGCAAGUCGAACGAGACCUUCGGGUCUAGUGGCGCACGGGUGCGUAACGCGUGGGAACCUGCCCUUAGGUUCGGAAUAACUCCCCGAAAGGGGUGCUAAUACCGGAUAAUGUCUUCGGACCAAAGAUUUAUCGCCUUUGGAUGGGCCCGCGUUGGAUUAGCUAGUUGGUAGGGUAAAAGCCUACCAAGGCGACGAUCCAUAGCUGGUCUGAGAGGAUGAUCAGCCACACUGGGACUGCGACACGGCCCAGACUCCUACGGGAGGCAGCAGUGGGGAAUAUUGGACAAUGGGCGAAAGCCUGAUACAGCAAUGCCGCGUGAGUGAUGAAGGCCUUAGGGUUGUAAAGCUCUUUUACCCGGGAUGAUAAUGACAGUACCGGGAGAAUAAGCUCCGGCUAACUCCGUG
rnacentral:rRNA from 1 species